ACGAUGCAUAGCCGACCUGAGAGGGUGAUCGGCCACAUUGGGACUGAGACACGGCCCAAACUCCUACGGGAGGCAGCAGUAGGGAAUCUUCGGCAAUGGACGAAAGUCUGACCGAGCAACGCCGCGUGAGUGAAGAAGGUUUUCGGAUCGUAAAACUCUGUUGUUAGAGAAGAACAAGGAUGAGAGUAACUGUUCAUCCCUUGACGGUAUCUAACCAGAAAGCCACGGCUAACUACGUGCCAGCAGCCGCGGUAAUACGUAGGUGGCAAGCGUUGUCCGGAUUUAUUGGGCGUAAAGCGAGCGCAGGCGGUUUCUUAAGUCUGAUGUGAAAGCCCCCGGCUCAACCGGGGAGGGUCAUUGGAAACUGGGAGACUUGAGUGCAGAAGAGGAGAGUGGAAUUCCAUGUGUAGCGGUGAAAUGCGUAGAUAUAUGGAGGAACACCAGUGGCGAAGGCGGCUCUCUGGUCUGUAACUGACGCUGAGGCUCGAAAGCGUGGGGAGCAAACAGGAUUAGAUACCCUGGUAGUCCACGCCGUAAACGAUGAGUGCUAAGUGUUGGAGGGUUUCCGCCCUUCAGUGCUGC
rnacentral:rRNA from 1 species